rnacentral:misc_RNA from 1 species
GAAAUGCGAUAAGUAAUGUGAAUUGCAGAAUUCCGUGAAUCAUCGAAUCUUUGAACGCACAUUGCGCCCUCUGGUAUUCCGGGGGGCAUGCCUGUCCGAGCGUCAUUGCGAACCCCUCAAGCACGGCUUGUGUGAUGGGCCCUCCCGCGUCUUGGUCGUCAAGACGGGCCCGAAAUGCAGUGGCGGCUUCGCGGUUAUCCGAUCAGCCAGAGCGUAUGGGGACUUUCUCUCUACCACACGCCCGCGGCGCGGACCGACGCCUGUCGACCUUUAUUCAUCUUUUUCUCGGUUGACCUCGGAUCAGGUAGGGAUACCCGCUGAACUUAAGC